rnacentral:misc_RNA from 1 species
GUGGUGGUCGAGGGAAAAGCGGGCUCCGGGGCAGAGGAACGUUUCGAGGCAGAGGAGGAUUCAGAGGGAGAGGAAGGGGGGUCUUUAGAACUGGGGAGAGAUGGGAGAGAGGAAGAGUUCAAGAUAUGGAGGAUGGAUAUGCUGCAGGACUUUAUUUAGGCGACAAUGCAGACGGUGAAAAGCUGGCAAAGAGGAUUGGGACUGAACAUAUGAACCAACUGGU